rnacentral:misc_RNA from 1 species
UGCGUGCGUGCGUACGUGCGUGCGUGCGUGCGUACGUGCGUACGUGCGUGCGUGCGUGCGUGCGUGCGUGUGUGCGCGUGUGCGUGUGUGUUCGUGCAUGCCGGCGGUUACAUCUCGUCACGUUCGACUCGGUGACGCGCACUCAAUCGCUCGUUCACCGCGCCGGUCGGCGAUGUAAGCAUACACACAGAGGCAAGGGAAAACCGCGCGAGCGCGAGGGGCGGCUGGCACACGGUAAGAAAUCCGGGGGUAAGGCAGCGAGGGGAGGGGAGGCACUGCUUGAGCUCGGCGAACGGAACGGCCGGUGACGGCGGAAGAACUGUUCUUCUCGGCUGCGACGAGGCAGCCGAUGUCAAACAUGCAGCGACGAAUUUCCUGCGUGAGCAGCUCGACCGCAACGGCGACGACGACGACGACGAUAUCGAAAACGAUAAGAACAACGUGGACGACGAGGACGACAAAAACGUCGAGGAGAUCGAGAAAGACGACAACGACAACGGAGAAUUGGCGACGGCGCGUCACGGCUGUGUUUUGCUGCCAGUGAAAGCAUACACUCACGUGCGCGCACGUAUCACACAAGUGACACACAUCUCACACACACACACACACACACACACAAAACGCGCCACACACGCACCGGUGCGCGGCCGCCGAUGACCACGGAUAUAUGGCGGCGCGAGUACUCUUGCUGAGCAUCUUGAUCACAGAAGUGUUGAAACCCGCUUGUGCUGCAGGUGUUAAAGGUAUCGGAGGAAACUUUGGCGGUAGAAACGUAUCCAAAUCAGAUAUCUCCGACGUCGGUCUGACCAAAGGCUCUGGAGUUACAUUGGAAAUUCAACCUGGUGGCCAUGUGAUACUAGGGAAGAAGGGGAUCACGCUUACCUGCAUUGCUGGUUCCAACGAAAAUAUAACCUGGCUUCAUAAUGGAAUACAAGCACCUCCGUGUGGUCUUACUCGCUGUGUUCUUCUUAAGAAUGGCUCUCUUCACUUUCACAAGAAACAAAAUUUACAAAUGCAAAAGUUCAAAGAGAAGGAAAGGAAUAGCAUUGUUAAUGCUAAAAAUCAUAAUAAAGAUGAGUAUCGCUGUGUAGCGAAGAAUAGUUUAGGAGAAUUGAUACGGUCAGCUCCUACAUAUAUUCAGAUAGCAGAACUUGCCCAUGUAUUUAAAGAAUCGCCUGAAAAUAUUACUGUUCGAGAAGGCGAAGUUGCAAGAUUUUCUUGUUUGAUAGACAGUGUUCCUUUCCCACCCGAUAUUACAUGGCAACAUAAUGAAACAUUGUUGUCUUAUCAUAAUGAAUCAAAGUAUUCCGUGGUACCACCAGGUGUUCUGUAUAUAAGUGCAACGAAACUGUCAGAUGCUGGCUCAUAUAGGUGCAUAGUCACUAAUGAAUUUUUAAAGAAGACGAAAAAGAGCAGAGAAGCAAAAUUAACGGUUACCUCGAGAGCAGAGAGCAACAAAUCGCAUACUUCGUCGUCUUUGUUUCCGCAAUUAUCGUACAAUCAUUGGCUGCUUAACGGGUCGAGUCUGAAUUUAGUAUGCGCCGCAUCUGGUUAUCCAUUGCCGCUCAUAACAUGGUCGUUUAUUCCUCGUUACAUAGAUAAUGUUACGCAACCUCGCAUUCUCCUCAAUUCCACCACCGGCAUUGGCGUACUGUCGCUAACAAAUGUGAACAUUUCCAAUGCCGGUGUCUACUUGUGUUCUUCGAAGAAUUCAAUCACCAAUGACUUAGAAGUACAGAAUAUAACCGUAGACAUAUUAAUACCGCCGUCGUUCGUGAAAACGCCAACGAACCAAAUUUGUCCGAAUGGGAGGACAGCGAGGUUUGAGUGUCAGGCGCAAGGAUUACCGGUACCUCAAAUUUAUUGGCUGAAAGACUCGUCAAAUAUUACUAUCAAUGGUCGCAGAACGACUUAUAUUAAGGAAUACAAUAAAAUAGAACUAGCAAUAUCGGCAACAGUACCGAAUGAUACUGGCAUAUACCAGUGUGUAGCAGUGAAUUCAGCGGGUGAAAUUUGGGCCGCUGGCCGGCUCCAAGUGAAUACGUCGCGCAAUAGUCCCGCUGCGCCCACUUCUCUAAAAUGUCAUGCCGUUUCACCAGUUAGAAUUUUAAUUUCUUGGGAACCACCAAAGUCUCUACCAUACACCAGUAUUACAGCUUAUACCGUCCAUUAUAGUCCUGUAGAGGGUGGCAAGGAGGAAGUUUCUCCACCGGAACCAGGAAAUUCUACAUCCGUAGAAGUAACAAAGCUUCUCGAACCGUUUACAAAUUACUCGUUUUACAUACGAGUGUGGAACAAUUAUGGUGCUAGCGAUCAAUCGGCUACCAUUCUGUGUUCCACCGCUCCAAGUGUUCCUAAAGGUGCACCAAAAAUAAAUGUGGAUAUAAUCAGUAGUACAAAGUUAAAUGUAUCAUGGGAGCCUUUGAGUAAGAGGGAAUCUCGUGGCAUUGUGGUAGAAUAUAAACUUCAAUGGAAACUUCACCAACAUCCAUCUUCCAGAGUACUCCACUUACCUGCUGCUAUCGAAUACCACAUACUUUCUGACCUGAUACCUGGAGCACAAUAUGAUCUACGAGUGUUGGCAAGAACAAAGCAGGGCUGGCCAAACAUUAGUGAGACGCAAUUCGAAUGGAUGACCGUGACCAUGCCAUUGCCUGAAACCAAUCAAUUUACUAUAAGGAACGUCGUGGAUAUACAAAUAUUGAUAGUAAACGCUUCGUUAGUCAAGAUGAAAUGGAAGAUAAACUUCAAGCAAAACGAAUCAGAUUUCGAUUCUUGGCAGAUUUACUGCGAAAAUCAAAACGGUGAAAAGUUGAAGACUAUUCUGUUACCGCAGAAUAUCACCGAAUAUCUGUUCACUAAUCUGGAUAUGAAUGUUUCCUAUACCAUGGGUCUGUGUAUGGUAAGCUCGGGUCGAGCAACAGGUUGCUUAACAAGACACAUAGAGACCACACUAUUCGAUCCCGAUGAUAUACCAAUGGCUUUGGAGGCUGUUCCCGUCUCACCCACGUCUAUUAAUGUAACGUGGACGUUGUUGGAUACACAUACUGUAGAUUCGUUCGAGCUUUGUUAUCACGCGGUGCACAUACAAAAUUCCGACAGUUCCAAGUGUUUUAUCAUAGACGAUACGAAGGCAAGCGUUGAUAAGCUGAAGCCUUUUACGUUGUAUCAGUUCAAAGUGCGGUCUAUCAGACACAACACGAAUCAAACCAGUCUCUAUAGCGAGUCUAUAGAGUGUUAUACGAGCGAAGAUGUUCCCGGUAAAGUGGAGAAGGUGGAAUGGUUCUUGGGUAACAAUACUAAAGUACGAAUCGCGUGGAAAGAGCCGAGUAACGUGAACGGAGUAAUACAGAAUUACUUCGUCGCGUACACCAUGGAUCUGACGGAGGCAACGGUGACGUGGGAUAACGUGACUGUGCCCGGCGACAAAACGUCAACGACUCUGCCGGGUCUGGCGCCGGGGAAACGUUACUUCGUUGUGGUACAAGCGUCUACGAAAGCCGGCUACGGCAAACCGUCGGACCCUAUUAUCAUUAUCACCGGCGGCGGCGCGUCGAGGCCCACUUCAUCUGACAAGAAGGAACCCUCGCAAAAUAUCAGUCCCGAUCAGAGUUUAGGUGUGGUCCUCGGAGUGGGCAUAAGCAUCGGUUUCAUCAUGAUAUGCCUGUGUAGUAUAUAUUGUCGGCGUAAGUAUGAAAAUUCCCGUUCGUUUCGCAACGACGUUCAACCUACGAACGGGCGCGUACUACCGCGAAACGGAAACGGUUGCUGCGUCGAGCAAUCCUCCGCGUCCGCGAGCCAACAGGUGAAUGCUACUGGUGGCGCGUCGAACGAGAUCGAAUUGGCUGUGCUGUGUCCAUCAUCUCCGAUCGAGACUAAUCCGCAUUCCGAUGCGAAAGGUGCACAAUCCAAUGGAGUCUUCGAGAGUUGUGUUCGAGAACCUCUGUUGUCGCCGUGGGAGGUAAACGGAGACUCGAAGGAUGUUCACAUCAUGGAAAAUCCUCAGUACAAAAGGAGAGGCAGUUCUGCCUCGGAUAAUCAGCGGGAGGAUGAGGAGGAGCAAGAUUUAGAAGGCACGCAGCUCACAAUGGUCAAUUGUACUUUAGGCAGUAGCGCUAGCAGUUUAAACAACAACUCAGGAUGCCCGGACGAGGACAUCGCAUCGCCGAAAGCCACGUGCGAGACGUCUGUCCCGGUGCUCGGACCGAAUGGGUGAAACAGUGCGUUUGAGCAAUAUACUAAAAGUGUUCAAUAUUUAUCAUCGGGUCCAUCGGAUCGCAGCAGCUUAGGGUUGAUCGAUCCUCCCGAUCGGCGAGACGUGGGAGAACGCAGCAAGAAAAAUAUCAGCACGCUUGAGAGAGAAAGCAAUGUAAAACGGAAGAGUACUAGAGGCUACAACCUCGCAAUAUGUAUGUAUAUAUUAUAUAUAUAUAUAUAUAUAUUUAUAUAUAUAUAUAUAUAUAUAUAUAAUACAACCAAUCUCUAGCUCAUGCGAGCAGGGAUAAUGUCGUCUGGUACACUCACGCCACGGCUGAUGUAAUACCGUUUCGGGUAAUCCAAGUGUGAAUAGUAGUCGCUGCGUUUUGUAUAUAUGACUACGGAGUAAAAUACACUUCGUCACGGGCGGACAGAAAGAAAUGAGGUAGCGCACAAACGUAAGUGAAAACAAACGACAAUUUUCCAAAGACUCACUCUGCAUCGUGCGGUCGGGAAGAGAACCGUAAGAUACGAUGCAGACAAUACUUAAAAAAUGUUUGCCAGAUGCUCGUAUAUAUAAACGAAUACGCGUAUAAGAGAGCGAACUUGUCGGCGAGCUGAAGAUUGAAAUUGAAGAGGGAGAAUACGUAGAAAGAGAGAAACAUAUGCGAAAAGUAAAAAAGGAAAGAACUAGACGGGAAUGAAAUAGCAGGUUUCCAAUAUGCGGUUGUACAUAAGAUAGGAUAAUUGUUAAUUGUGAAUAAUGUCCAUAAGAUAUUACGCACUUCGAAUACGCAAUGUAG